GGGUGAUUAGCUCAGUUGGUUCAGAGCACUACCUUGACAGGGUAGGGGUCACUGGUUCGAAUCCAGUAUGUCUCA
rnacentral:tRNA from 1 species